CUCGGUUGAUCCCGCCGGACCCGACUGCUAUCGGAUUGAGAUUUAGCCAUGCGAGUCGAACGUUCCCCUGUUGCGGGGGGCGUGGCGUACGGCUCAGUAACACGUAGUCAACCUGCCCUGGAGACAUGGAUAACCCCGGGAAACUGGGAUUAAUCCUUGAUAGGUCAUCUCAUCUGGAAGGAGAGAUGGCUUAAAGGGGUACGCGGGCUUCUUCCGCGAAUUCGCUCCAGGAUGGGACUGCGUCCGAUCAGGCUGUUGGCGGGGUAAUGGCCCACCAAACCUGUAACCGGUACGGGCCUUGAGAGAGGUGGCCCGGAGAUGGACACUGAGAGAAGGGUCCAGGUCCUACGGGGCGCAGCAGGCGCGAAACCUUCGCAAUGCGCGAAAGCGUGACGAGGUUAAUCCGAGUGACUCCCGCUGAGGGGGUCUUUUGUCAGCUGUAAAUAGGCAGGCGAAUAAGGGGAGGGCAAGCCUGGUGUCAGCCGCCGCGGUAAUACCAGCUCCUCGAGUGGUCGGGGCGAUUAUUGGGCCUAAAGCAUCCGUAGCCGGUUCCGUAGGUCCUCUGUUAAAUCCAACGGCUUAACCGUUGGCCCGCAGAGGAUACCGCGGGACUAGGAGGCGGGAGAGGCGGACGGUACUCCGCGUGUAGGGGUAAAAUCCUUUGAUCCGCGGAAGACCACCAGUGGCGAAGGCGGUCCGCCAGAACGCGCUCGACGGUGAGGGAUGAAAGCUGGGGGAGCGAACCGGAUUAGAUACCCGGGUAGUCCCAGCCGUAAACGAUGCUAGCUAGAUGAUUCAUUCGCAAGUCGCGAAUGAAGUGUCGCAGGGAAGCCGUUAAGCUAGCCGCCUGGGGAGUACGGUCGCAAGACUGAAACUUAAAGGAAUUGGCGGGGGAGCA
rnacentral:rRNA from 1 species